rnacentral:tRNA from 3 species
GGCGGAGUGGCUCAGAUGGCUAGAGCAUUCGGUUCAUACCCGGAGGGUCAUCGGUUCGAAUCCGAUCUCCGCUACUA